AGCUCCAAUAGCGUAUAUUAAAGUUGUUGCGGUUAAAAAGCUCGUAGUUGGAUCUCAGUUCGUACGCCGUGGUCCGCUUGCCGGCGGUUACUGCGGUGUCGAACAGCGCUAGCGGACUGUCUCGUGAUGCUCUUCACCGGGUGUCACGAGCGAUCCGUAAGUUUACUUUGAACAAAUUAGAGUGCUCAAAGCAGUCUUCAACGACCGAAUAAUCUUGCAUGGAAUAAUGGAAUAGGAUCUCGAUUCUAUUUUGUUGGUCUUCGGAAUCUGAGAUAAUGAUUAAGAGGGACAGACGGGGGCAUUCGUAUUGCGGCGCUAGAGGUGAAAUUCUUGGACCGUCGCAAGACGAACUACAGCGAAAGCAUUUGCCAAGAAUGUUUUCA
rnacentral:rRNA from 1 species